rnacentral:rRNA from 1 species
AUUGAACGCUGGCGGCAUGCCUUACACAUGCAAGUCGGACGAAGGCUUCGGCCUUAGUGGCGCACGGGUGCGUAACGCGUGGGAAUCUGCCCUUGGGUUCGGAAUAACUCAGAGAAAUUUGAGCUAAUACCGGAUGAUGUCGCAAGACCAAAGAUUUAUCGCCCAAGGAUGAGCCCGCGUAGGAUUAGCUUGUUGGUGAGGUAAAAGCUCACCAAGGCGACGAUCCUUAGCUGGUCUGAGAGGAUGAUCAGCCACACUGGGACUGAGACACGGCCCAGACUCCUACGGGAGGCAGCAGUGGGGAAUAUUGGACAAUGGGCGAAAGCCUGAUCCAGCAAUGCCGCGUGAGUGAUGAAGGCCUUAGGGUUGUAAAGCUCUUUUACCCGGGAUGAUAAUGACAGUACCGGGAGAAUAAGCUCCGGCUAACUCCGUGCCAGCCGCCGCGGUAAUAC